GGAUCAGUGAUGACUGCCAGUUAACAUUCCUUGGAAAGCUGAAGAAAAUGAGUGAAAACUUACUACCUUUCCUUUCAUUGAAAAUUAGGUCC